rnacentral:rRNA from 1 species
UGGAGAGUUUGAUCCUGGCUCAGGACGAACGCUGGCGGCGUGCUUAACACAUGCAAGUCGAACGGAAAGGCCCCUUCGGGGGUACUCGAGUGGCGAACGGGUGAGUAACACGUGGGUAAUCUGCCCUGCACUUCGGGAUAAGCCUGGGAAACUGGGUCUAAUACCGGAUAUGACCACGAGGCGCAUGCCUUGUGGUGGAAAGCUUUUGCGGUGUGGGAUGGGCCCGCGGCCUAUCAGCUUGUUGGUGGGGUGAUGGCCUACCAAGGCGACGACGGGUAGCCGGCCUGAGAGGGUGUCCGGCCACACUGGGACUGAGAUACGGCCCAGACUCCUACGGGAGGCAGCAGUGGGGAAUAUUGCACAAUGGGCGCAAGCCUGAUGCAGCGACGCCGCGUGGGGGAUGACGGCCUUCGGGUUGUAAACCUCUUUCAGCAGGGACGAAGCGCAAGUGACGGUACCUGCAGAAGAAGCACCGGCCAACUACGUGCCAGCAGCCGCGGUA